rnacentral:rRNA from 1 species
GUACGGGAGGCAGCAGUAAGGAAUAUUGGUCAAUGGACGCAAGUCUGAACCAGCCAUGCCGCGUGAAGGAUGAAGGUCCUCUGGAUUGUAAACUUCUUUUAUAUGGGACGAAACCCGGGAAUUCCUUCCCGAUUGACGGUACCAUAAGAAUAAGCACCGGCUAACUCCGUGCCAGCAGCCGCGGUAAUACGGAGGGUGCAAGCGUUAUCCGGAUUCACUGGGUUUAAAGGGUGCGUAGGAGGGUAGGUAAGUCAGUGGUGAAAUCUUCGAGCUUAACUCGGAAACUGCCGUUGAUACUAUCUAUCUUGAAUACCGUGGAGGUGAGCGGAAUAUGUCAUGUAGCGGUGAAAUGCUUAGAUAUGACAUAGAACACCAAUUGCGAAGGCAGCUCGCUACACGAAUAUUGACUCUGAGGCACGAAAGCGUGGGGAUCAAACAGGAUUAGAUACCCCCGUAU